CUAUAUGUGGCUUUUUCUUGCUCUGUGGCAUCCUCCCCAACUGGCUCAAUGUCAGGGGUAUCGAGGAUGUGAGAAAGCUUCUCUUGACUAAGUACUAUUUUAAGAUUUCUCAACCAGUCCACAUAGUUGGUACCAGUCAAUUUAUUUGUAUCCAAAAUGGAGUGAAGUGAAAGUGAAGAAGUCAUUAAUCUACAUAAUAAAGAACAUUACAUAAGCUAACAACUCA
rnacentral:lncRNA from 1 species